UUUUGAAGCUAGAGCUCUGUAAAUGAAGGUUUUGAAGUUAGAGCUCUGUAAAUGAAGCUUUUGAAGUUGAUUGACAUGAGUAAUGCUCAUGAAUGUUUAUGUUGAUUGACAUGAGUGAUGCUCAUGGAUGUUGUCAUGAGUGAUGCUCAUGAAUGUUGACAUGAAUUGAUGGUCAUGAAUGUUUAUGUAUGAUUGUCAUGAGUGAUGCUCAUGAAUGUUUAUGUAUGAAUGACAUGAGCAAUACUCAUGUAUAAUUUGGAGUACUGGGCGUACUUUGAUCACCUGGUUGGUGGCAUGAAGGAGAGUACGGGUUGUACAUUUCAUCACCUGGUUGGUGGCAUGAAUGGCUAAUUGCCAAAUGAUAUUAGAGUACGGGUGGUACAUUUCAUCACCUGGUUAGUGGCAUGAAGAUGAGUUCCUUCUUCACCUGGUUGGUGGCAUGAGUGGCACGUUGCCAAAUGAUAUUAGAGUACGAGUUGUACAUUUCAUCACCUGGUUGGUGGUAUGAAGGAGAGUAGGGUUGCACAUUUCUUCACCUAGUUGGUGAUAAUAGCGGCAAGUUGCCGAAUAAUUUUGGAGUACUGGGCGUACUUUUGAUCACCUGGUUGGUGAUAAUAGCGGUAGGUUGCCGAAUAAUUUUAGGGCCAUAGGGCCUGGCUCUUUUGGGCAUAUGGGCUAGGGGUGGGUUCGGUUUAAAUUGGUUCGGUGUUUUGCCAAAACCGAAACCGAACUGAAAUUUCGGUUCGGUUCAAUUUUUUUUUUUGUUCGGUUCAGUUUUUGUUCGGUUUGAUUUUUUCCGGUUCGGUUUCAAUUUUUUUUCAAAAAAUGAAAAAAUUUAAAAUCUUAAA
rnacentral:lncRNA from 1 species